rnacentral:lncRNA from 1 species
UCUCGAGUGACAAAAAAGGAUGCAAAGCUGUAAAUUGCAAGAAGUUUAAGAGCUCAAGACACCUAUUUGAACCACCAUAAUCAAUUCCUCCAUACAGUCUAGCUAAAGAAUAUAAACUAAGCGUUUAUUGGAAGGCAAUUUAACCUCUUCCCUUUUAUUUAUUAUGCUUUCUAUACUAUAUUGAAUAUAGAUUUAUUAU